CAGAUGUGACUGCAGUAAACCAGAACAUCACUCGAGCUCAGUGGAGCAUUGAUGAAUACUGCCCCAAAGUAAAUAACGUUUUAAAGAAAUCGUGUAGACAUUGUCAGGAGGGCUGGAGAUUCAUCAUCAAGUCCAGCUGCUAUCUGAUUAAUAACACUGGUCAUUCUGAUCAGAAAACCUGGGAAGAAGCUCAAGAAGACUGCAGAGCACGGGGUUCAGAUUUGGUUGUUGUAGAUGAUGAAGAUGAAAAGGAUGCACUCAGUUAUUUUAGACAGUACACAGACUGGUUCUGGAUUGGCCUGAGAGCUGAAGGAGGGAGAUGGAAGUGGAUUGAUGGAAGUGAUCCAAC